GACGAACGCUGGCGGCGUGCUUAACACAUGCAAGUCGAACGGGCCCGCUCUCUUUUUUGGGGGUGGGUUGAGUGGCGAACGGGUGAGUAUCACGUGAGUAACCUGCCCCCUGCUCCUGGAUAACUGCUUGAAAGGGCGGCUAAUACGGGGUGUGCCGGCUGGUCCGCAUGGGCCUGGUCGGGAUAGUUUCAUCUUCGGGGGUUUCGGUGGGGGAUGGGCUCGCGGCCUAUCAGCUUGUUGGUGGGGUGAUGGCCCACCAAGGCGGUGACGGGUAGCCGGCCUGAGAGGGUGGGCGGCCACACUGGGACUGAGACACGGCCCAGACUCCUGCGGGAGGCAGCAGUGGGGGGUAUUGCACAAUGGGCGGAAGCCUGAUGCAGCGACGUCGCGUGAGGGAUGGAGGCCUUCGGGUUGUGAACCUCUUUCUCCGGUGGUGAAGGCCCUGUCCGUUGCGGCGGGGUUGACGGUAGCCGGGUAUGAAGCGCCGGCUAACUACGUG
rnacentral:rRNA from 1 species